AUUUUUUUUUUUUUUUUGAGACAGGAUCUCUCAUUGGCCUGGGUCUCUGGAUUAGGUUGGAGGGCUGCCAACCAGCUCCAUCCAGGAUUGGAGAUUGCAAAGGAACCAAGCUGUUCACCCUUUCCUGAUGCUCACAGUAAGAGAACCAGCUGACCAUGGACUGAAACCCCGAGAACCAUGAGCCAAAAAGAAAUCUUUCCCCUAUGGCUGUCAGAGAUUCAUCAUAGAAACAAAACCAAACCUAACACAUUGCCCAUGAGCAGGCAACAUGGGAAGGCCCCCAGAGUGCUCUCAAAUAGUAUCUCAUUUUCCACUGGCUUGCCACAUGAUUCUGGGACUGUGAGCUGUGUUCUUUGAACAAAGUGACUGUGCUUGAUGCCAUACCGGACCUGUUGAUGUACCAAAGCCAGCUGUUUCAUGAGGUUUCUGGAAUGUCCUGGGGAGUUGAGUGCACAGAAGAAUGACUCCCAGGGGUGGCAGAAGAAUAUAGGGAUGCUGGGGAGAUCUGGAAGAUUUGCAUCCCAUCCCUCACUUCCCACUGUGGUGAGUGGUGCAGGGUUUUCUGGUACAGUACCUCCACCUCUCCCCAGAGUCUUGAGCUCACACUCCGCUCUGGUGGACAAAAGAGAUUUCCACAGAGGAUGGGUCAGUGAAGCUGACCCAUAGGUGACAUGCCAGCUCUGACAAGAUAAGGAACUUCUCACUGUUGACUAAGGUUUUGUGUCCCGCCCAGUGCUGCAGCCGUUAAAGUCCCAAAGAAUGACACAGCGGUCUACAUUAAAUAUAAACUGAUUGGCCCAUUA